UACGUAGGGGGCAAGCGUUGUCCGGAAUCAUUGGGCGUAAAGCGCGCGUAGGCGGCCCCGUAAGUCCGCUGUGAAAGUCAAAGGCUCAACCUUUGAAAGCCGGUGGAUACUGUGGGGCUAGAGUACGGAAGAGGCGAGUGGAAUUCCUGGUGUAGCGGUGGAAUGCGCAGAUAUCAGGAGGAACACCAAUAGCGAAGGCAGCUCGCUGGGACGUCACUGACGCUGAGGCGCGAAAGCGUGGGGAGCGAACAGG
rnacentral:rRNA from 1 species